rnacentral:rRNA from 1 species
UACGUAGGGUGCGAGCGUUAAUCGGAAUUACUGGGCGUAAAGCGUGCGCAGGCGGUUCGUUGUGUCGGCGGUGAAAGCCCCCGGCUCAACUGGGGAGGGUCAUUCGAUACUGAUCGACUCGAAGGCAGGAGAGGGUAGUGGAAUUCCCGGUGUAGUGGUGAAAUGCGUAGAUAUCGGGAGGAACACCAGUGGCGAAGGCGACUACCUGGCCUGUUCUUGACGCUGAGGCGCGAAAGCUAGGGGAGCAAACGGG